GCCGAGAUAGCUCAGUUGGUAGAGCACGCGGCUGAAAACCGCGGCGUCGCCAGUUCGAUUCUGGCUCUCGGCAUCA
rnacentral:tRNA from 1 species